UACGUAGGGUGCAAGCGUUGUCCGGAAUUAUUGGGCGUAAAGAGCUCGUAGGCGGUCUGUCGCGUCGGCUGUGAAAAACCCGGGGGCUCAACCCUGGGCCUGCAGUCGAUACGGGCAGACUAGAGUGCGGUAGGGGAGACUGGAAUUCCUGGUGUAGCGGUGAAAUGCGCAGAUAUCAGGAGGAACACCGGUGGCGAAGGCGGGUCUCUGGGUAGUAACUGACGCUGAGGAGCGAAAGCGUGGGUAGCGAACAGG
rnacentral:rRNA from 1 species